ACCCCAUGCAUUUCUAUGGAGGAUUUUUUGAGUGCUGUGUUUCCUCAUUAGAAAGUCUCUGACUACUAAGUAUAUCCUCUUUAUUGUUGGCUGUGCCGCCAUUUAUUUUAUAUUUCCUAAUCAAGUCUUUAAAACUUAAUUUAGUCUCUUAUGCACAAAAUGUAAAGCACAUUGAAUGACCACUGCUGUGUAAGAUAAUGGGCUAUAUAAAUAAACUUGAACUUGUGGUCGUUGGUUGUUUUGUUAGAUAGCAAUAACUCCCUGAGCACAAGUCAGGACCUUUCAUUAAGAUACUGUGCAUGUGUUUUCAUUAUAAUAAUUAUUUUAUUUUUUCAUUACAAAGGGAGAUGGAAUUAGAAUGCCAAGCGUGAGCUGAGAGGAGCGGUGAGGCCAGAGGGUCAGUCAGUGAAGCGGACUUCGAGCAGGCGAACAGGGACACUGGGACGCAGAGAGAGAGAUCAGAUCAUGGAAAGUUGUGCAUUAAGAAGUCAAGGAUCCUUCUUUGGUAAAACGGAGUCAUGCUGAGUCAGAUCCUUCUGAGACAACGCAAGGCUUCUUCCGAGCAUUCAGAACCCACAAUGGAACAGACUAGCGAGUGUGCAGGAAGCUGUAUCCUGCCCACUCGUUUUUGAAAAACAAUAAAUACAACACUAAUUCUCCCGCAUAAAUAAAUUAAAUUACACAUCCUUGAUCUGAUUCCUACAAUCAACUACAGAACAGUGACCAUUAAGCAAACAUUAAGCAAAACCUUAUAGAGAAAAUGUUUCUUUAGUAGUUCACACCCUGCACAAACAUCCCUGCUAAAAGCCUUCAUUAGACAAUUUCAGUGUGAGAGUUCAAAGUUGUCAAAAUGACCUGAGCCCUUACUAAACUUAGCCUACUUAACACAAUGACAAUCAAUUUACAAAGAAACAGACAAUAUUUAUAUUUGAAUACAUAGUCAACUGUGUGGGUGAAUCAGGGAUGCUAGGGAUACGGCUAAGGGAUUCUAGAAAAUUCUGUGAAACAAAUAACUUUGUCCUUGGUAGAAUUUGAAGGAUGCUUGACAUUUGAACUGUGCUUUGGCAAAAUUCGAUGAUGUACCUUCCACAAAAAAGCAGCCUUCAAAGAUU